rnacentral:misc_RNA from 1 species
AAUGAAAUGAAAAUAAUUAUUGGAAGACCAAAGAAAAAUUUGGCCAGCCUAUGAGGGGAGUGAUUUGCUUGUGUUUUGAUUGAAUUAAUUAUGUUAGGAAGCUAAUUGGGUGAUGGAGUGAUGUUAGUAUGAUUUGAAUUAGUUAAAUAUAACAAUUAGUGUAGUUAGGGUUUGGCACCUAGGGUUUGGGAGACAAAAAUUGGAGAAGUAGUCAAAUGGUGUGUUUGACCUU